GGGAAUAUUGGGCAAUGGGCGCAAGCCUGACCCAGCAACGCCGCGUGAAGGAAGAAGGCUUUCGGGUUGUAAACUUCUUUUAUCAGGGACGAAACAAAUGACGGUACCUGAUGAAUAAGCCACGGCUAACUACGUGCCAGCAGCCGCGGUAAUACGUAGGUGGCAAGCGUUAUCCGGAUUUACUGGGUGUAAAGGGCGUGUAGGCGGGCUUGCAAGUCAGAUGUGAAAUUCCAGGGCUCAACCCUGGAACUGCAUUUGAAACUGUAGGUCUUGAGUGCUGGAGAGGCAAUCGGAAUUCCGUGUGUAGCGGUGAAAUGCGUAGAUAUACGGAGGAACACCAGUGGCGAAGGCGGAUUGCUGGACAGUAACUGACGCUGAGGCGCGAAAGCGUGGGGAGCAAACAGG
rnacentral:rRNA from 1 species